rnacentral:rRNA from 1 species
UGGGGAAUUUUGGACAAUGGGCGCAAGCCUGAUCCAGCAAUGCCGCGUGAGUGAAGAAGGCCUUCGGGUUGUAAAGCUCUUUUGUCAGGGAAGAAACGGUUGUGGCUAAUAUCCAUGGCUAAUGACGGUACCUGAAGAAUAAGCACCGGCUAACUACGUGCCAGCAGCCGCGGUAAUACGUAGGGUGCAAGCGUUAAUCGGAAUUACUGGGCGUAAAGCGUGCGCAGGCGGUUAUAUAAGUCAGAUGUGAAAUCCCCGGGCUCAACCUGGGAACUGCAUUUGAGACUGUAUGGCUAGAGUGUGUCAGAGGGGGGUAGAAUUCCACGUGUAGCAGUGAAAUGCGUAGAUAUGUGGAGGAAUACCGAUGGCGAAGGCAGCCCCCUGGGAUAACACUGACGCUCAUGCACGAAAGCGUGGGGAGCAAACAGGAUUAGAUACCCUGGUAGUCCACGCCCUAAACGAUGUCUACUAGUUGUCGGGACUUAAUUGUCUUGGUAACGCAGCUAACGCGUGAAGUAGACCGCCUGGGGAGUACGGUCGCAAGAUUA